GUGGCCCCAACACUGCCUCCCUUCCCACCCCACAAUGUUAGAAGAAACUCGACAGAGAAAAUUGGCAGCAGCCAAGAAAAAGUCCUCCUCCAACUCCUCCUCUCUGCGUGCGCCUCAGAGCCGGUACCAAGAACUGGAAGUAGCCCUGGACUCAAGCUCCGCAACAAUCAAUCAACUCAGUGAAAACAUAGAAUCACUG